UAGGGAAUCUUCGGCAAUGGGGGGAACCCUGACCGAGCAACGCCGCGUGAGUGAAGAAGGUUUUCGGAUCGUAAAGCUCUGUUGUUAAGGAAGAACGAGUGUGAGAAUGGAAAGUUCAUGCUGUGACGGUACUUAACCAGAAAGGGACGGCUAACUACGUGCCAGCAGCCGCGGUAAUACGUAGGUCCCGAGCGUUGUCCGGAUUUAUUGGGCGUAAAGCGAGCGCAGGCGGUUAGAAAAGUCUGAAGUGAAAGGCAGUGGCUCAACCAUUGUAGGCUUUGGAAACUGUUAAACUUGAGUGCAGAAGGGGCGAGUGGAAUUCCAUGUGUAGCGGUGAAAUGCGUAGAUAUAUGGAGGAACACCGGUGGCGAAAGCGGCUCUCUGGUCUGUAACUGACGCUGAGGCUCGAAAGCGUGGGGAGCUAACAAG
rnacentral:rRNA from 1 species